CACAUAAAUUAUCACAUAAGAUAAGCGCACUUCCCGAUCAUAAAUUUCAUUAUAUUGGUUUGUUCAGAUUAAAGGUGAAACAAAACUUUCAGGCGAACAAAGGCUUGAGAUUAAGCCGGUUAUUAUAACGCAAUUACUAAUUUAGUUAAGCGAUAUAGACAGAUUUUUAUGACAAUCACACGUAAAAAAAAUAAUAAUAAUAAAGAAACACAGUUAGCACGUAUAUCCCCUCCCCCCUUUAGCUGAUCCCCCCCAAAUAUAUAUUAUAUAUUGAGAGUUAAGAGUUUACAAAUUAUUCCAACAAUAAUAAUAUACAAGACAUAAGUAGAAUCAAAUCAUCUAUUCCCUCCCGUGGCGACUCUUCAUGUCUUGAACUCUAUGUUAAAUCCUGCUAAACCAAAAGAAAAGAAUACUACGAAUACACCUAAACAUAACCACAGCAAAUAAUAUAUAAGAUCAAUUAUAUGGGCGGAAUUAUGAAGCAAACACAUAGUCAUAUCGAAACACACAACGGGAGGAAGUGGGGAUAGGAAACAUACAUGGGUGCUUCCUUUAUUUCAUUCAAACAUACAACAAAUGCAUAGUGCAAAACAGAAAAAAAAAUUAAACCAAGGCAAACACUAACCAAUUAUGCAGAAUUAAUUAUCAGCAAUGAAGAUAAACUUAAUCCACUAUUCGACCCGAACACAGCAAAACCGAUUAAAGAUAGCCCCUCUAAUGCUCACCGGAAUCUUUCUUUUAAGUAAAGAGUAAUAUAUUUUUUUUUUAGUAUUCAAAAGUGAGCCAUGUGAGAGUGUCUCCAGAUCCCAAAUAAUGAAGGGAGGGACCCAAUUUAUAAUCACUAAGAGAUGAACAAAUAAGGAAAAUGAAGUAGUUAAAAUAUUGAUUUUCCUUAUUGGAAAAGAACUGAUCGGUCAAAAUAAGGGAAAGGAAUAAAGGGGGGCAAUUAAUAUUAUUUUCCUUACUUUCAAGGAGAGCUAGAUCAGAUUUUAAAAAAAUAUUAUUACCAAAUAUAAGAGUAGCUAAAUAAGACAAGGAUCAUAAAUUAUAAAACAGUAAGCCGAGAGCAAUGACCAGCACAUAAAAGUAUUAAUUUUCUAAGUCAAAUAUCCACCUAAUACUAAAUUACCAUAAAUAACCCACGUAAGAAUCUAUUUUGGACAAGAAUUAAGGGAGGAGGGAUCAACAAUAGUAAAGAGAGGCACACAAUAAGGAAAAGGAAUAAAUUAGGAGCAAUUAGAGACAUUCUUUUCUUAACUAAAAGAGUCCAAUCAAUCAAUAUAAUUCUCUUGCCUUAAACAAAUAAUGAGCACGAGUCUGUCCAUAUAAUUACGACAAGUAAGAUCCCUUUUUCCAAAAAUCAGUUCAUGAACAAACAAUUAUUUAAAACCGGAUAUAGUUACAUACAGAAGCAAUAUUCACACAUUUAGAUAAAUUGAGCAAAGUUGGCAAGAAAUAUAUGGGAUCCGCAAAUAAUAUAGUUUACUUGCAGUUUUUAAAAUGAAAGCUCACAUCCUAGAGAAAAUAAUGACUAAAUAUAAAAAAAUGACAAAUAUCAGUCCAAUUUACCCAAAUUUAGACCUACAAGAUUGCUAUCAAAUCAUCAAGUAUUACUAAGUAAUGACAAUUAAGGUGGAGGAUUUUCUGGUUGCCACAAUGGGCAAUAUUACUGUUGGGAAUCAAAAAUUGAGGGAGAGAUACGGGAAUCAACAUUGACGGAUUUUACUUUGAAUAAGACAAGCAAAAAAUCCGGUUAAAUCAAAUAAGGUACCAAGAAUCAGUUAGCUGCUAAAUUACCACAUAAGAACAGUAAAACCCAUCAAAGAUUUAUCAAAAUUAAUUUAACCAUAAGAUUACUCCGAUUUAAUCAAGCAAAAGAAAAUAAUCAAUUAGAGACAUAAUGUGUGCUAGUAUGAACUAGGUUUCAUUAUUCCUAACAUCAGAAAACUGUAACAAGCAUAAUAGCACACUAAUAAACUAUUAUUAGCAAGAGUAUGUGAAUCACAAGAUGAGCAAGUAAUAAAAGAAUAUACCAGAUCCGUCUCCAACCGACCCCUUAAACCUUGAAAUUUUACCGAAAUUUGCUGCUACUGCUGGCCGGGGAAGACAAGAGACGGAGGAGCUGCAUCAUUUUCCGGCGCUGCUCGCUGCUGACCAGCGUUUCGCUUGCGCUGGUUGCUGCCUGCGCUGGCUGCUGGCUGCUGCCUGCUGCCUGCUGCCUGGUGGCUGUUCGAAGGAGCUGGAGGAGCUACUGGCUGCUGGCUGCUGCCACUGCUUUCGCUGGAAAAAGAAGAGAAGGGACGAAGAGCAGCAGCCUCACUGCUGCUGCUGGAGGGAGGAGGGAAAGGAGAAGAGGCGAGGGCGAGAGAGGGACGGCUGCCACCAGCAAGUGGUGAUGAGUUUCACCGGAAAAAAUGGAGAUGAGAGCUGAGAGAGGCGGCUGCUAGAGAGGGAGAUCUACGAAUGAAA
rnacentral:lncRNA from 1 species